AAGUUAAUGAAUGAUGGUUACCAAAAUAUGUUCUCUACUACAUUUUUUCACCCUCUGUAUCUCUUCACAAUUACUUUUACUUCCAUCGAGGAAGCAACUGCUCUCCUAAAAUGGAAAUCAAUUUUGUAAAAUAAGAAUGAUUCCUUAUUGGCUUCAUGGACACAAAAUUCUAGUGAAUGCAAGGACUGGAAUGGAGUUAAAUGUUCUAAUGCUAGAGUAAACAGGCACAAUCCCACCACAAAUCGACUCAAAAGCUUGGCAUCUCUGAGAACCAUUUAAAUGGUUCGAUUCCAGGAGAAAUAGGUUACCUAAGGUUUCUUACUUUGCUAGCUUUGAAUAAUAACUUUCUUGAUGGUUCUAUUCCAGGUGAGAUAGGUUACCUAAGGUCUCUUACUCUGCUAUCUUUGAAUAAUAACUUUCUUGAUGGUUCUAUUCCCUAUUCAUUAGGGAAUUUGAACAACUUGACCUAUUUGUAUCUUUAUGGGAAUCGCCUAUCUAGCUCCAUUCCUAUAGAAAUAGGGAAAUUCGUCAAUCUUACCUUGAUUCAAAUCAGUUAACAGGUCAUAUUCCUCCAGAAAUAGGCAACUCGAUCAAUGUAAGAGUGUUCUCUGCUUUCUGCAAUGAAAUUUCUGGUCUCAACCCUGUAGAAAUAGCAAAGAUGCAAGUACUUGAGGUAUUGGACCUAUCAGUCAACUUGCUUGAAGGAGAGAUACCAGAACAACUUGUUUCUCUUACAAAUCUUGUAAUGUUAAGUUCUAUAUUGAUCUU